ACUCAAAUGAAUUGACGGGGACCCACACAAGCGGUGGAGCAUGGGGUUUAAUUCGAUAGUAAGCGAAGAACCUCACCCAGGCUUGACAUCUCGGGAACCUCCCGGAAACGGGGGGGUGCCGCAAGGAACCCGAAGACAGGCGCUGCACGGUCGUCGUCAGCUCGUGCCUUGAGGUGUACUGUUAAGUCAGCGAACGAGCGCAACCCUCAUCUUAUGUUGUACUUUCAUAAGAGACUGCCGCCUCCAAGGCGGAGGAAGGUGGGGAUGACGUCAGAUCAGCGUGGCCCUUAUGCCUGGGGCAACACCCAUGCUACAAUGGUCGGUACAAAGGGUAGCCAACCCGCGAGGGGGAGCCAAUCCCAUCAAAACCGAUCUCAGUUCGGAUUGAAGUCUGCAACCCGACUUCAUGAAGUUGGAAUCGCUAGUAACCGUGAAUCAGCUAUGUCACGGUGAAUAAGUUCCUGGGUCUUGUACACACCGCCCGU
rnacentral:rRNA from 1 species